rnacentral:lncRNA from 1 species
UUGAUUUGAACUGUAACUAGUAAGUCAUCAGAGAUUACAAUACUUAGAAAGAGGCGGGAAAUUACGUUAUCUCAAUUAUAUAGAAUGUCUACAACUUCAGUUUGUAUCUGACAUUAUGCCCGAUGUGUUUAUUUUGAACUCCUUCUACAGGGAAGUUUUGAUUUGUUGGGAAGAUUCCAAAUGGAGUUCAUAUCUGUUUGUGUGCGUGCGUUGUAAACUUCGAAGGAUUUCAGCCUGAUUUGCAUGGCUCUUGAAGACGCAAUCACAGAAAUAUCGAAAUAUCGAUUCGAGGAGAUGACAGUGAUGAUAGUCGUGGAGCGUACAAAAGAUUAAAUAAAAGCAUAUUAAAUAAUUAUGUACAAUGAUUGUAACAAGUCAGUUUAGUGCAAAGUGUAUAUUACCAUUCUUUUGACUUCUUCUCUGGCCUGGUCCAAUUGCUUAUAUGAUCUGGAUGCUUCUUGUUGCAAGCAUAAUGUACCUGAUGCAUUAUUUUCAUCUGAUGGGCAAUGACAUAGAUCAUUCAUUUAUAUUUGUAAGAACAAUUCUUAGUCCAGUUGGUGCCCAUUGCAGUGAUUCUUAGAGCGUGUGGC